UACGAAGGUGGCAAGCGUUGUUCGGAUUUACUGGGCGUACAGGGAGCGUAGGCGGUUGGAUAAGCCCUCCGUGAAAUCUCCAGGCUUAACCUGGAAAGUGCAGAGGGGACUGUUCAGCUAGAGGAUGGGAGAGGAGCGCGGAAUUCCCGGUGUAGCGGUGAAAUGCGUAGAGAUCGGGAGGAAGGCCGGUGGCGAAGGCGGGUCUCUGGACAGUUCCUGACACUGAGGCACGAAGGCCAGGGGAGCAAACGGG
rnacentral:rRNA from 1 species